UUAUCGCCUCGGCCUUUUGGCUCAGAUCAAGUGUAGUAUCUGUUCUUAUCAGUUUAAUAUCCGAUACGUCCCCCAUCGGGGGACUACAUAUUAAAUGGAUUUUUCGAACAGGGAGUCGGAAAUGGGGCUUGCUCCGUCCGCUCCACGCAUCGACCCGGUAUUGCAGUACCUCCGGGAAUGGUGCAACACUU
rnacentral:snRNA from 1 species